rnacentral:rRNA from 1 species
UACGGAGGAUCCGAGCGUUAUCCGGAUUUAUUGGGUUUAAAGGGUGCGCAGGCGGGAGAUUAAGUCGGCGGUGAAAUUUUGCAGCUCAACUGUAAAAGUGCCUUCGAAACUGGUUUUCUUGAGUAUGGAUGAAGUAGGCGGAAUUUGUGGUGUAGCGGUGAAAUGCAUAGAUAUCACGAGGAACUCCGAUUGCGCAGGCAGCUUACUAAGCCAUAACUGACGCUCAUGCACGAAGGCGUGGGGAUCAAACAGGAUUAGAUACCCUGGUAGUCCACGCAGUAAACGAUGAUUACUCGCUGUUUGCGAUACAAUGUAAGCGGCUAAGCGAAAGCAUUAAGUAAUCCACCUGGGGAGUACGUUCGCAAGAAUGAAACUCAAAGGAAUUGACGGGGGCCCGCACAAGCGGAGGAACAUGUGGUUUAAUUCGAUGAUACGCGAGGAACCUUACCCGGGCUUGAAAUGCAUCUGACGUGGGCAGAGACGCCCAUUCCCCUCGGGGCAGAUGUGUAGGUGCUGCAUGGUU